GAUUUGCUACAGUAAUUUUUUUAAAGUGUACGGUUUUUUUAAAAAUUGUUACAGUAAUUAUUUUUAGCUUUCCUGUGUGUACGGGUUUUAGUUUUGCUACAGUAAAACCCAUUGCUAAUUAAAAUAAAAAUAUUGUUUUCUUAUAAGUUUUUUUUUAACUACUUGUACGGAUUUUAAAAAAUAUAUAUAUAUAACUAUAAUAAUCUUUUAUGCUAGUUGUACGGAUUUUAAUAAAAAAUAUUUGCCACAGUAAAUAUUUUUAAAAAAAUUGCUACAGUACUUUCUUUUCCACUGUUGAGAUUUAUUAAAACUUAUUUUUAAUGAUAUAUUAAAACUUAAUUUUAGAGAUAUAGAUAUACUAUUUUUUCGGAAAAAAAAAAGGGAAGGAAAAAUAUUUUGUUCCAAGGGAGAUUUGAUUUCACAGUAUCUAACCUGCAACACUAUUUCUAAAUUUUAUUUUUUCUAUUAUUUCAGCAAUUUUUAAAAUCUAUUUGCUGCAUAGAUAUUAUUUGAUUGCAUAUGUUAUUUGCUCGAAAUUACCUAAUUGAAAUCAAUUUUGUUUUAAAAAAAAUUGUUUGGUCCAUCUUUUGCUGUUGAAUCAAACUCUAUUCAACAUGAUUAAAUUUCAUGAUUUUUAAAUUUUAGUAUAUCUCUGAAAUUGUGGGGGGAGCGCCUUUAUCAGUUUGAUAAAUUUUGAUAUUAUAAUUGCUCUCAUGUUUUCAUUUUGUCUAUCAUUGUGUUUAACUUGUAAAUAAAAUUUAUAAAUUCUAAAGUUAACAUUUAUAUUAUAUUGAGAUAGAAAUCUGUUAGAUGGUUAAUUAUCUAUCAUAUUAUUUAUUUGAGUUUUGUCAGAUUUGACUAGAAUCUUGCAGAUUACCAGAUUGAAGGCCUAAAGAGGACUAUGGUCCUGUAGUCAUCGAGGGGGAUGGGACUUUGCCCGUAAAGGGCCUUCCUGCAGUGGGAACCCAACCUUUGUGAUAGGAGAUCCCUUGAAGAAGGUUCAAUGUGGUAAAAACAAGCUGUCAGGUUGGCCAAGAGCACUUUCUACAAAUUUUAUAAAGGAGCUUUAGCUCCAAUCCCAUCCCUAUGGUGAGUAGUGCUCUGUGUAGUGGAUCAGGUUGAGCUGAGAGCUCUUAAUAGGAUCCAAGGCGAUAAUUUUCGCGAGAUGUGACUCUACACACAUCCCUGGAGGAAACCACCUAUAUAAGAGUAUCCGUAUGUGGCCGCGGCUAUGUGAUAUGGGCUAUCCAUAGAAACUCUUAUGAAAAAUCAAGGUACUGUGCAUGGCCAUUAACGCACAGACCCGCGACGGAGAAUUCUGUACUGUGUGUGUGGUGGUUGAAGUCAGGGUCAAAGGAACGUAGUUCAAGACCUGGUUCACUCCGAUUCCUUCUGAUGGAAAUCACUUACACUAAGUGGGGUUAAGUCUCUUAAAGACACCUCACCCAUUGCAUAGUAUAAAACACCCAGUAAAUUUGAUUUUAAUUCGUAAUUUUAAAAUUUUGAGUUUUGUGGGGGAUUGUUGGUGAAAAACUCAAAAUUUUGAGUUUGAACUUAUUUUAUUUGAACUUUAAAUUAUUUAUUAUUUAUUAUUUAUGAUUCUAUUUAUUUACUACUUUAUUUAUUUUAUUUUAUUUAAUUAUUUUAUUAUCUUUCUUAAUGAGAAAGAAA
rnacentral:lncRNA from 1 species